UUCCGGGACGCACCGACGCUGACUUCCGUCCGGGGCGGGACUUCCGUGCUACACGGGGCGGGGCGGAGCGGCGCCCCCUGCUGGCGGGUGGGCGGCAGCGCAGGGAACCGCACAGCAGCAAGUGCGCCUAUUUGAAGUUCAUGGAGGAGGCCGCGUGAGGAGCGACACAGAGAUGGAAGCAAUGCUUCUACAAGUCAUGGAACUCCGAGGGUUGCGGGUCGCCACCAGGAGCUAGGGAGACACCUGGACAGAUUCUCUCUUGCAGCCCCAGGAGCCAAUCCUGCCCGCACCUUGAUUUCAAAGGCUGAGGUCCCCUCCAAGCUGUCCCUGGACAGCGAACCCAGCUGUCAGUGGCAAGGUCCAUGACACCGAGGCUCCCAGCAGGGCUGCAGGGACAGCCAGACUCUGCGGUGUCAGCCGAUGCCAUCGACCGUCUAUGCUGGAAAAGUCCAAUAACCCCGAGACUGACCGUGGGCUGGGACUACAGCCACACCAUUCUGAUCAUUACAUGAAACCGGCAACCACAGAACCCGGCAGCCUGGCAGAGACCGUAUCUAUGGCACCGUCUGUCUUAAAGAAGACCUUUGUGGACCAAUGGGGUGGCCAGGGGCUGGAGAUGCUAGACCUGGGGCUUCCUGGCUGCAUGUUAGAGUUUAUAAUUCAGCCAGCUCAAAGGGGCAUUUUUUUGUCUCUCUGUCUAACCAUGUACCCGCGUCUACACCCAUGGCAGCACCGUCUCCACCUCCAUCACUUAGCUGCAUUUCCAUCUGUCUCUCUGCUGUGUGUGUUUCUCUCUCUCUCUCU